AUGUUUAAACGUUUGCGGGACAAAUGGAACAGGAACGUCUACGUCAGAAAACUUUGCGUCUGCCACUCUCUGUGUUCAGGUGGAACUGUCCUCAACCCAGGCUCCAUGGGUGGCCACAGACCAGUUGUCUAGUGAGGACUCAUCUCCUCCUGGCCAUAGUGACUAAUUCAGUGAUGGGCACUUGACACAAGCCAGGUCAACAAUAUUUGAUUUGGGAGUUUUGAUGGCCUAAGGCAGUUAGACAGCUAGCUACUAGUUGGCCUGGGUCAUGCGGUCAGCUCUGAACUAAUCACUGUAGGGAAAGGAAGGAAAUGGAAUAAUAUUUGUUGAUUGGCUAGGCCCAGGCCAUGUGCUCAACUCUGAACCAAUCAGUGUAGAGAAAGGAAGGAAAUGGGAUAGUAUUUGUUGAUUGGCCAGGCCUGGGUCAUGUGCUCAGCCCUGAGCCAAUCAUUGUAAAGAAAGGUAGGAGAAAUAAUAAUGGCCUCCCUGGGGAGGUCCUGGGUUAAUGGUCAACUCUAUUCAAACUGCAUGGACUGAGAGUAGGAGAGGAGCCCAUCCCCAAAGAAAAGUUGGGUGUUUACAUGCCAGAGGAUGAGGGAGUAGAUGCUGGGAGCAUGGAGACGAGCUGUUACUCCAUCACUUCUACCCCCACUCCUGUGGUCCUAGCCUGGGCUUGCCUGGUCUCUUGUGGGUGCUGAGGUCGGAACCUGCCCAGGGUUGGGCCUGCCCCCUCUGGCAGCAUCCCGCUUGGAGCUGAGGUUGUUCCCUCAAACGCCACCCUGGCUUUGUCUGAGCUGAGGAGAGCAGGUCACAAAUGCCUUGAGGAGCACUCUACCACACUCUCAUCUGGCUGGCCUUGGGCAAAACCACCAGAGCUCCCGUACUCAGGUGCCUGCAGUAUCCUUUUAUACAGCGCUACGACUUGUCAUAUGUGCGACUGGGCGGGAUGACCAGUGGGGGAAGGAAUGCUGUCAGGAGACAAAGGAUGAAUCAGUGUGCUGCUUUGUUCUGGGUCUCAAAGAUACCAAGUCUAUUCUCGCUUCAGGGCUUUUGCCGUUCCCGUGCCUUGGAGUUGCUUUCCCCAGAUUUUUCCAAAAGUAUGUUCUCACCAUUCAGGGCUGAGCCAAAUGUCUCCUCCUUAGGACAGCCUUUCCAGGCCACUCUCCUGUGUCACCAUCACUCUGUGUUGCCUCUUUUAUUUCCUUCCUAGUGCCCUCACUGUUUGAGGUCGUUGGUGCUGGUGCUAACACUCUCCCCCAUCCUCUCCAUGAGACCCAAGAUUCAGGUUUUCUUCUUCACUCCACCAUGCCCAGGGCCAGACAAAUAGGAGGCAUUCAAAAAAUCUCAAUGAGCUGGGCACAGUGACUCACACCUGUAAUCCCAGCACUUUGGGAGGCUGAGGCAGGAGGAAUGCUUGAG